rnacentral:misc_RNA from 1 species
AAGACUAUAGACCUGCGGAGUACCUGCGGAAGGAUCAUUAACAAUUUAUCCUUACUAUGGAUAAAUUUUAUCCAUAUCCACCUUGUGUGCAUCAUUGAAGCUUUAGUUGGCAGGUGAAAUCCUUUUCAAGGAUUUAAAGUGCAGUUAUUUGCAGCCUGCCAAUUUUAUUUGUCUCAACUUGUCUACUUACACUUUUGACUGAAAUGUUAUUAUUUAAUAAAUACAACUUUCAACAACGGA